UACGGAGGGGGCUAGCGUUGUUCGGAAUUACUGGGCGUAAAGCGCGCGUAGGCGGACCUGCAAGUCGGGGGUGAAAGCCCGAGGCUCAACCUCGGAACUGCCUUCGAUACUGCGGGUCUCGAGUCCGGGAGAGGUGAGUGGAAUUCCUAGUGUAGAGGUGAAAUUCGUAGAUAUUAGGAAGAACACCAGUGGCGAAGGCGGCUCACUGGCCCGGUACUGACACUGAGGCGCGAAAGCGUGGGGAGCGAACAGG
rnacentral:rRNA from 1 species